UAAAGACCUGGCCCCACAGCUCUUCUCUCUGUCUCUUGCUCCCCACCCGUUGGUUGAGCUCCCUGCCACCUCUAGCCUUCCCGUCAGCCUCCUGUUGACACCCCUAACCUCUAUGUGAUCUGAUCAUGGCAUCUAUGUUGCUGCAAAGGACAUGCUUUCAUCCUAUUUAUGGCAGCACAGUAUUCCACGGUGACAUGUAACACAUCUUCAAACGGAGUCUCGCUCUGUUGCCCAAGCUGGAGUGCAGUGGCGCGAUCUCGGCUCACUACAAGCUGUGCCUCCCGGGUUCACACAAUUCUCCUGCCUCAGCCUCCCCAGCAGAUGGGACUACAGAUGCCCACCAUCACGCCCAGGAUAGCACCAUCCUCAGACAAAAAUCAUAGAAUCAGAUGGCAGCAAAUAUGGCGGAGUAGAGAACACCAAUGGUCUAACCCUCCAAAAAGCAACAAAUACACUGGCAAAUACUGUCAGAACCAACCUUCUCGAAACUCCCGAAACUAAUGGAAAGCUUACAGCAAUCAGAUGACCAGUGGCCUUGAAGACAUCAGCCCACACUCCUGGUAGACAUACUCAGUACCAGAGGGAACUGAAUAGGCCUUAUUCUUUAAUAAAAAGAAAAAAAAAAUUGGGGUUGUUUGUUAUGACUUAUUUGGUGAUUUCCUGGAGGACAAGCUCAAAGGGACUGCCUUUCUCUUGCUUGACUUAGAACUCUCCCUGUGCUGAGGGGGCUAUUUGGGAAACUUCAACAAAAAUAUGUAAAGCAAAUGUUAGUCAGUGCUGCCUGGGGCAAGGGAUAUUGGGGGAAAACAACAGACUAACCAAAAAACUUGGGAGGAAAGUCUGGUGAAUGUGAUGCUCUGGUGAAUAAAGCUUUGAAAAGCACCCACAUAUUUCUGGAAAUCUAAAAGGUCAUACACAUGGCUACAAGUCUAAAAUGUUAAGGAAGUUUAGAUUCUAGCAUCACUGCUUAGAGGAGAUUACCCCCAGGAGAGCUGCCUCAACAGGAACAUCUACAAACUAUGUUUUAAGAACAAGACAUACAUUUUUAUCAUAUUAAGCCACUAAGACUUUGGAAUUAUUUGUUAUAGAGGCUGGCACUAAUUAUGUGAAUAAUACAGACUUGAAGGAAUCUAAAAGACGUGUAUGCCAUUUUGCUGGAAAAUAAUAGAGAACUUAUUUAAAUAAAAAUGUGUAACUUUAUACUAUGUUCUGUUCAAUUAGAAUCUCAGCAAGUAUACUUUCCUUAUACCAUUGAAUUGCUAACAGUAAACAGAAAAAAGAAAAAAACAGGUUGUUUACACGUGUAUACAUUUUUCAAUAAUUUACAUUGAGCCUUACACUGUAACAAUUUUAAAGCUUCAUGAAUCAAAUUUUUAUAAGUUGAAGUAUUUUUAAAUUAACUACAGAAUGAAAUAGUUUGUUCCUAAAAAGUUAGCUAAAGUUAAAAAUCUCCUGUUAGUCCUAUUUUAUCACAGUUUAAGGUCAUAGUCCAUACACUGGGUUUCUUAUAGUGAUCCUGGUCUAUAUUAUUUUUUAAUUAUUUUUUCCAAUGACACUGGUCAUGCAUCUUUCCAUUUCAAAGAAUUACUCAUAAACAUGGGGAAACUCGCUGGGUGCAGUGGCUCACAUCUGUAAUCCCAGCACUUUGAGAGGCUGAGGCGGGUAGAUCACCUGAGGUGAGUUUGAGACCAGCCUGGCCAACAUGGUGAAACCCCGUCUCUAUUAAAAAUACAAAAAUUAGCUAGCGUGGUGGCAGGCACCUGUAAUCCUAGCUACUCAGGAGGCUGGGGCAUGAGAAUCGCUUGAACCCGGGAGACAGAGGUUGCAAUGAGCCGAGAUUGUGCCACUGCACUCCAGCCUGGGCAACAGAGUGAGACUUUGUCUCAAACAAACAAACAAAAACACGGGGAAACUAAGAUGUUUAUAGGAUCAGAAGAAAUGGAAACAUUAAACAACAAAAAAAGGUUCAUGGGUAAAAGCUU
rnacentral:lncRNA from 1 species